ACGGAAGGCAGCAGUGGGGAAUAUUGCACAAUGGGGGAAACCCUGAUGCAGCAACGCCGCGUGAAGGAUGAAGGCCCUUGGGUCGUAAACUUCUGUUCUAAGGGAAGAUAAUGACGGUACCUUAGGAGCAAGUCCCGGCUAACUACGUGCCAGCAGCCGCGGUAAUACGUAGGGGGCAAGCGUUAUCCGGAAUUAUUGGGCGUAAAGAGUGCGUAGGUGGUUACCUAAGCGCAAGGUUUAAUCUUGAGGCUUAACCUCAUUCUGCCUUGCGAACUGGGCUACUUGAGUGCAGGAGGGGAAAGCGGAAUUCCUAGUGUAGCGGUGAAAUGCGUAGAUAUUAGGAAGAACACCGGUGGCGAAGGCGGCUUUCUGGACUGUAACUGACACUGAGGCACGAAAGCGUGGGGAGCAAACAGGAUUAGAUACCCUGGUA
rnacentral:rRNA from 1 species